rnacentral:rRNA from 1 species
UACAGAGGGGGCAAGCGUUAUUCGGAAUUAUUGGGCGUAAAGGGCGCGUAGGCGGCCUGGCAAGUGGAAGGUGAAAUCCCUCGGCUUAACCGAGGAACUGCCCUCCAAACUGCUUGGCUUGAGUCCGGGAGAGGUGAGUGGAAUUCCCAGUGUAGCGGUGAAAUGCGUAGAGAUCCGGAAGAACACCGGUGGCGAAGGCGGCCUGCUGGGCAGUAGCUGACGCUGAGGCGCGACAGCGUGGGGAGCAAACAGG